rnacentral:lncRNA from 1 species
GUCAGCUCCAUUGUGUACCAACAACUCAAGCACCUCGAGCUGUAAACCACAUGUCACUCACGUGUCCCCAACAGGCAGCUGCGUGAACAGGUUGCCAUUUAUCAUUGUCCACAACAUCGGUUGAAACGUGCUGAUCAAGAAGAAAUUCAACGACUCUGAGAGAAAAAAAUCAAAGGCGAGGAAGGAUUUUGCCUCGCUACACUACCUUCGUCGAGAUCGUUUCUAGCCGCAGCUUCUAGAAGCAUAACGCUGUCGCUAAAAAAUAUGUGACGUUUAUUGCUUGGGUGUUUAUUCUGGUGACGGAGCCAUUCUUUUUCUCGAUGACGCCAUUGCUUCAGCUGCUGCAGCCUCCGAUGACGUGCCAAAUGGAGUCGUUCCUGAGUCGUCAAUCUCUCAAUGUGCAUCAUCUCUGCUACCAAGUCCGAGUGCUCCAUGAUGUAGGUGCGUGGCUGAUGUAGACCUGCCUUCUUCUAUCAUACACAUCGCGCCUGACUCUCAUCACGCAUCUACGACGUCAACAUCCAGUCUCACCGAGUUACAUAUUUAUACUUAUUUACUAAGCUGCCUUUGUCUGCGCAAGGUUUACAAGACCGAGAUAAUGUUUUGUGAAAAACAAGCAAGACACAGCAGCAGCGUAGCAAAGAUUCGAGAUACCACAGAAAUGAAAAUACGCAGAAUUUUUUGCAUAACUAAGCGAUACGCAUAGACUUUCCAAACCAAGUGUAUUAAUUAAUUCAAUCUUCGUUAUCCCUUAAAACAUGUCUCGGUUGAAAACGGUAAAGACUAUCGAAUAAAUAUCACCUUGAUGGUGAAGUACUUUUUUUUAGAUAAUGUAAAUCAAAAGAUCAUAAAGCAAAUGACCGUCACUUAAUUUUUACUCUAGAAAAGUUUUUUCUGUGAAAAGUGAUUGAAACCUAAUUAGCUAUUGGUGAGUAUAAAAUGGUAAAAUUAUGGCUAAAUGUUACAUCAUUGAUUUGCAAUUUUGUUUAGUAUCAAGUAUAUGAAUCAGUAUUAUAAUUCCGACGAACUAAUUUCGGAAGAAUUAAUUUAUGAGUAACGACAAAAUACUAGUAAUAUUUCUUCAAAAAGUAUAGAAUCAUAUGAUUUCAGAGUUGCGGAAAAAAUGUUGCUGAUUUCUCCUCAAAUGUAACUCACUAUGUAUUACUUCUAUUGAAGAUGCACAACAUUAUGAAACAAAUAUAUUUUCAAAGGAACAGAAAAUUACAUAAUUUGAAAAAUCAAGUUUUUUCUGCUAGCAAGUGUCAAUCAAAAAACUUACUAAGAAUUCAAUUCAAUGAGAAAACUUUAGGUCGUUACUUACAUUUGCUACGUCUAUUUACUAUUAUUGAUAAUUAAUUCCUAGUUCAUGUAUCGUGUAGAAUAUCUAUAUUAGGCGAUAAUACGUUUCAUAUUGCCAAAUUUACUAACAUAGAAUAUUACUUAACACGGAUGGACAAUAGUUGUUUUUUUUUCGAGUAGUAAUGUUUCAAGGAAAUUAUUUGUUCCUCAAAUAUUCACGUAAGCGGUGAAUUAUGAAACAAAAAUAAGAUAAUUUUAUAAAAACGUUUGUUUGUUACGGUUCUUAGAAGCUGCGCGUAAAAUUUCAUGUAAGCGAUAAGUUUCAUUACUCUCGCCAGAGAAUUGAAAUUUAAAUGUGCAGGAUAGAUGUAACGUAUAUUCAAAUUUACAAUUAGAAUUCGCUACUAAUUCAACAACAAAAGCGCACUGACCGAUGAUUUUAUGCUGAAUAUGACGAAAUGACAAACUGAAAAAAGUGACUAGUCACCAGUCCUGUUAUCGGUAAGAAUCUAAAAUUAUCUGUGACGACAUAAAAGGACUAAAAUUCAGCACAGAUCAAAGAAACAUUUCAACCCAUGUAAUUUAAUGUAUAUUUCAUUUGUAGAAAACGACGUGUACUCUUUCAAUUGUCUCGACAUUUAUAGAUUUUUCAGAAUAUCGAGGCUUACGGCUAUCCCGUCUUAGCUUAACUAUCCGAUUCUCACACUCUCUCCCCCUCUCUAGAGUUAGUUGUGUUUCAUAAAUGAGAUAAUUUUCUCCAUUCUGUACGAAUGAACUAUUUCUAAGAUGGUAAAAGAAUCCAAAUUUGACUAAAAUUGUUUCAAUUCAUGGCACACUAGACGCCCUCUAUCGAUACUUUUUCGUCGCUCUGAGGAUUAUCAACUUUCAUUUUUGCGAUUACUGUUUCUGCCAAUUUUUUGGGCAAGACAUGACCAGACAACUUAGAAAUUUCCAACGCUUCUCUUUAAGGAUGUACCAGACAUACACGACAGUGAAAGAGCUGUGAAGACGGAAAUAUCAUAUAACGAAGGUUUGGAAAUGCAAUUAAAGUUCAUCAAUUUAAAUUUCAUUGAUACAAUAACACAGAAAAAAAAAUUUUUAAAUCAAAAAUUUCAUCUAAACUAGCUGAUCUUUUGAUGGCUUUGAAGAAAUCUCAAUGUUUUAUCAUUCUUACAAUGAAAAAACUGUACUCAAUUUUAUAUGAACCAGGGCUCACUUUUAACGUAAAUGAAUUCUCUAGAAAUCGACAAACUCAUAUUUUUUAUUGGACUUCUCAUUUGAGGUAAAAGAAAAAAAAAAAAAAACAUGCUUAGUGAAAUCAUUUCAAGUGACGAAUCGUAAACCAAUGCCUUAAUAAGAAAUGCUCCGUCAUUAUUCAAAAUCCGACUUUGCGGAUAUGUCGAGAAUUUAUUUAGAAACAAAACAAGCCCUAGAUCAUUAUAAUUGGUCAAACGACGCAAUUUAUUCAUCAUAGAAAUGAUUUGAUAAUGGAAUGUUUUCAAAGGUACCGACAAUUGUGCCAUUGUGGCUAAGAUUUAUGGUCUGUUAAACAUUCAAACCUUCGUUAUAUCAUAUUUCUCUCAUUACAACUCUUCAACUGGACUGUACUUCUAAUAUAUCGUAAUGGAGGAUGGAGUAUUAAAAAUCGAUAAUUUAUAUUGCUUUUAUUACAAGGCAAUCCUAUAUUGAAUAUUUAUCGAAAUUAUCAUAUUUGUAAUCUACUACGGUUGUACAAUUUAAUCAGCUUCACCGGCCAGGAAUAUGGUAAAAACCUGGUUAAUCAGCCAAUGGUUUAACCGAUUAACCGGUCAAGUUCGGCAAACCUUCCGAAAUGGUUUAACCAGUUAAUAGUUAGAUACGCAGAAAAUCAAUUAGAUUAAAAAUCAACCAUUCUUUUAAGUGGUUGACUUUCAACCAUUUUCAUUUAACAGUUAACUGUCUUGGCUGGGUAAACCGGUUAAAUUGUACAGCCACACAAUCUUUGAAUAUCUCUUGAAGAAAACAAGAAUACAAAGUACAGAAAUUAUAAAGAAAAAGCUCAAAUAUCGAUGCUGCAUUUCAGGUCGCUUCAAAAUGGUUAAAAAUCUAGUAGAUUAAUUCGAUUCCAUUCUACGAUGGCUUACUUUAUUCGGAAAACUAUUUUCUACAAAGUCAAUGAAACAGAUUUCACAGUCGUUACGACAUUGCCAAAUUCCCAACCAUAAUCAAUGUCAGUACAACGCUGUAAAAUCAAAUAUUUAACAAUGCCAAGAUAAUAAAGAAGAUAUUUUCAGUAAAUUCAUAUAAAAUAGUCUUUUGAAUAGAAUGCGUCAUCGUACAUACUGAAAUUGAUCGAAACUACUAGAUCUCAACCAAUUUUGAAGCGAUUUGUAGUAACGCAUCGCUAUCUAAUUGCAAGCUUUUGUUUAUAAUGCCAGUAUUUUUUAUUUUAGGGUUUUUAAGUAUAUCUUUGUAGCCUACGAGUAUCAUACUGUGAUAAACACUCAAUGACUAUCUUGUAAUAAAAUUGAUAAAGAAUUACAAUUUUUUGGCUCACGAUCCUUCUGAAAUUCAUUAUUUGCGUAAAACUAGCAGCGAGAUGUAAAGAAACGAGCUUCCAGCUGUUCCGCAGGUUCAAAAGAUAGCUUAUCUGCUAUCACAUCGUUCCGUUACCACAUCUUAUUACUAUUCUACUAUACUGUAUACCUAUUACUAUUCCCUGAAAUUGCAUGUUAAAAAUUAUUCCAAUUCUAGCUAUUCUCCAAUUCUCAUCAUCAAUGACAUAUGAUGUGCUUACUCUACUACAGAUAAGAAAUAAUCAAAAUUCGAAGCGUUAGAUCUUGCGAUAAAUGUCUAAAAACUACACGUAAAAUAUGGAUAAAAACUUUUCAAUAUCAUUGUCAACAGGUUGUGAUAACUUGAAAUCAAACGCGCCAAUUCGAUCGCAAUGCAAAUCACUUCGUUGAUACGCAUUCCGUUGUGUUUGCCUCCAAAUACAUAAAUAUAACAUUUGACAACGAAAUUCGCAGCAAUUCCAGUGUAAUUCAUCGAUACAAAGUUGUGAGCUUGAUUAUUGGUACUUGAUUACAGAAUACAGCAAAGGGAGGGAAGAAAUUUAGAAUGUAGAACAAUCCACUAAUACAAGCAGUCUAAAAUAUGACAAAGACCCAAAAAACUCUACUCUGCUUAUCAAAGUUCUCCAGCCAAGGCAACAGAGGGAAAACAUUGCGCGGACCGUUCUUGCACGUAUAAAGGCACGUUACAUUCACAUAAUAAUGCAGGUAUAAAAGGCCGCAAGUUUCAUGCCUACGUUGGAAGAAAUAUUUUGCUGCUUGUUAUCUUAUCUAGUCAUCUUUUAUUAGGCUCUUAUAAUACAUAAUUGGAGGUCUUAGAAUACAACGGCUUAACAAAUGUGAAACAAGCAAAAUAGGAAAACGAAUUGAAAAGUAAAAUGUAAUUAAAAUGCAAUUUCUAAAUGUAAAUUAUCGAUAAAAAUAGCAACAAUUAUAAAUGCAAUACCUGAAGGAAAAA